rnacentral:rRNA from 1 species
UACGUAGGAGGCAAGCAUUAUCCGGAUUCAUUGGGCGUAAAGUGUGCGUAGGCGUCUUGUAAAGUUUUUGUUUAAAGACCGGGGCUUACCCCUGGAUUUGGCAGAAAUACUCACAAGAUUGAGGAUAGAUCGGGGAGAUAGAACAGGUAGUGUAGCAGUGAAAUGCGUUGAUAUUACCUGGAAUACCAAAAGCGAAGGCAGUUUCCUGGGUUUUUCCUGACGCUGAGGCACGAAAGCCAGGGGAGCGAAACAG